CUCCUAGGGUUCCGCUUCCCUCUCCACCUAUAUAUACCUUCAGCCGCCGCCGCUCUCUCAUUCCCCUCUCCCCAUCGCAACCCCGCCGCCGCCGCCGACGCCGCAGGAGGAGACGCGCCAAGGAGAGUCCGCGAGGAGGCGACCAUGAGGGCCAAGUGGAAGAAGAAGCGCAUGAGGAGGCUGAAGAGGAAGCGCCGAAAGAUGAGGCAGAGAUCUAAGUAAGCUGAUAGAGAUGGAUGGUUGUGGUGAUGGCAUGACUGUAUGCAUAUCUUCGGAUGCGAUAGCCUCAUGGAGAGAUGUCUAAUAGGAAUGGCGUCACUGUUCAUCAUCUGUUGAAUGGCUUGUCUUGGGAACCUGCGGUUCAGUAUGCCUGUUAUCGUCAUUCUAGUUCUAUCAAGAGUUUUGCACUGAGAUAAAUGAGUCGUUUUGUGGACCUGUUAUGGAGCUUUGUUUGCUGCUAAUAUCUACCUACCUAUUAAGUAAUUCCCGUGGUGCUCAAUUUGUGAUUUUCUUGCAUCUGUGUUUUAAUGGUCCUCUGGAUGCUGCUGCUGGCUCGAGCUCUGUGGUUGAUUGCUGUGGAUUGAAGUCACUGCAACAGAGGCUUCAGUGUGCUCUAGUCUUGUGAUGUUUGUCUGCACAACAUUUAGUGCUAUUAAUCUUUAUCUUUGUUAUGAGCUAUGUUUGGAUGAUGCACUGCUCGACUGGAGCAUCAUAAUGCUUGAGAUGGCCGUCAAGCUGACCGCCAGCGGGACCAAGAGAUUCGGGGACAUGAGCAUGUCCAAACGCCGGGGGGGCCUCGGCAUCUUCGGCGAGCUCUCCCUGGCGCCAGUGGUCCUGAAUGACCUGACCGCCAUCAGAGCCACAGAUUAACCGGAGCUGUCGCGGCGCCGCGAGCGCCGCAGGCAGCCGCCGGCUGUAGAGAGCCGUGAGGGAGGAGCGGGUGGGGGCGAUCUAUCAGAGGCGGCGGCGUGAGCGUGGCGAGCCAGCUGGUCGACGGAGGGAGGUGGCCGCGUGAGCACCGGAGAGGCGAGACGAUGGGGGCGCCACGGCGAGGUCGAGGCCGGAGCCCGGUGCGGAGGCGGACGGAACUUUUACAAUUUACCCCCUAAAUGUGCAAAUAGACGGCGGCGGAGGAC